rnacentral:rRNA from 1 species
GACGAACGCUGGCGGCGUGCUUAACACAUGCAAGUCGUACGGUAAGGCCCUUUCGGGGGUACACGAGUGGCGAACGGGUGAGUAACACGUGAGUAACCUGCCCACAACUUUGGGAUAACGCUAGGAAACUGGUGCUAAUACUGGCUAUGUGCUCCUGCUGCAUGGUGGGGGUUGGAAAGCUCCGGCGGUUGUGGAUGGACUCGCGGCCUAUCAGCUUGUUGGUGGGGUAGUGGCCUACCAAGGCGGCGACGGGUAGCCGGCCUGAGAGGGUGACCGGCCAAAUUGGGACUGAGAUACGGCCCAGACUCCUACGGGAGGCAGCAGUGGGGAAUAUUGCACAAUGGGCGCAAGCCUGAUGCAGCAACGCCGCGUGCGGGAUGACGGCCUUCGGGUUGUAAACCGCUUUCAGCAGGGACGAAGCUUUUUGUGACGGUACCUGCAGAAGAAGCACCGGCUAACUACGUG